CAGUAAACAUCACCUUCUCCUUUUACUCUUUUGGAAUAUUUCCCGAGUUAAAGCAGUCUCCUUUAAAUUUCUGGGAUACUUUUCAACAUCUCCUCCUUCUUUAUACUUUUAACACAUAUAUGGACACGUUUUAUGUCUCUUUACCCUCCCCACCCGACUUGCUAUCAGCAUCAACGACCACACAUUAAUUUCCCAUGCCUCCUCCCCUCCGUGAAUCCUGUAGACC
rnacentral:lncRNA from 1 species